UUUUAACACAUCAUUGAUUAAAUCUAAAAUUGAUACGUUGGAAAAUUAUGCAAAAAAAAAUCAGUUACAUAAAUUAAGAAGAGAUAAAUUGUUUGAAGUUUUUAAAUUAUCUAAAACGGAAGAAGAUUAUAAAUUGUCGUUGCAUUUAUUAAAUGUAUAUUACAAUUUUGGAAGAAAUUUAAAUACCCAGCAAGAUGUUGAUUUAUUUUUUACAUCCAUUUUGAGGACAAAUCAACUAAAUGAAGCAAAAGAUUUUUUGAAGUAUUUUAACGGGUGGUUAUUAUGUCCUCCUUCAAACAAAUUGAUUUUACUAUGUAUGGAGGAAUUUUUUCGAAAAAAAAAUUUUAUGAAGUCAGGGAAAUUUUUUCUUUUAUUAGACAGAAUAACCAAAUAAAGUUAGAAAGUUCUUUUUAUUCCAUAACAAUAAAAUCCAUGCUGAUGAUAAAUAAAGACCCCAUAGAAGAAUCUAUGAUAAUAUAUGAUGAUUCUUAUAAUAUGGGCAUAUAUUUAACAAAUGAAAUACAUAAUUUAUUAUUAGAACAUAAUUUAUAUUACUAUCAUAAUGAGAAAAGCAAAAACAUAGAGAAUAAUAAAAAAUUGGAUUUUUAUAAAGAGAAUAUACAAGGAAUCAUUAUACGACUAACAAAUGAAUUAAUUAAAAAUAGGACAUACGUUAAGUUAUCGUCUAAGAGUUUGAGUUUGUUCGCAUGGGCAUACAUUUAUUUUGACAUAAAACAGAUAAUCGCAAAAUCUGAUAACAGAUUAGUUGAAGUUGAACAUUGUAACACUUGGUUAGACAUAAUAAAACUGGCAUGUUUGUACAACCAGAUAUCCGAAUGUCACACAAGCCCAUUUUCAGUAGAAUUUAAAGAUGUUCUUAGAAAUAUGAAGGAUGAUGAAAAUGCAGUUAAGGUUUGAAUGAAAAUAAAAAAAAAAAAAAAAAAAAAA
rnacentral:lncRNA from 1 species